rnacentral:rRNA from 1 species
UUGAACGCUGGCGGCAUGCCUUACACAUGCAAGUCGAACGGCAGCACGGGAGCAAUCCUGGUGGCGAGUGGCGAACGGGUGAGUAAUAUAUCGGAACGUGCCCAGUCGUGGGGGAUAACGCAGCGAAAGCUGUGCUAAUACCGCAUACGAUCUCUGGAUGAAAGCGGGGGACCGCAAGGCCUCGCGCGAUUGGAGCGGCCGAUAUCAGAUUAGCUAGUUGGUGGGGUAAAAGCUUACCAAGGCGACGAUCUGUAGCUGGUCUGAGAGGACGACCAGCCACACUGGAACUGAGACACGGUCCAGACUCCUACGGGAGGCAGCAGUGGGGAAUUUUGGACAAUGGGCGCAAGCCUGAUCCAGCAAUGCCGCGUGCAGGAUGAAGGCCUUCGGGUUGUAAACUGCUUUUGUACGGAACGAAACGGUCCUCUCUAAUACAGGGGGCUAAUGACGGUACCGUAAGAAUAAGCACCGGCUAACUACGUGCCAGCAGCCGCGGUAAUACGUAGGGUGCGAGCGUUAAUCGGAAUUACUGGGCGUAAAGCGUGCGCAGGCGGUUAUGCAAGACAGAUGUGAAAUCCCCGGGCUCAACCUGGGACCUGCAUUUGUGACUGCAUAGCUAGAGUACGGUAGAGGGGGAUGGAAUUCCGCGUGUAGCAGUGAAAUGCGUAGAUAUGCGGAGGAACACCGAUGGCGAAGGCAAUCCCCUGGACCUGUACUGACGCUCAUGCACGAAAGCGUGGGGAGCAAACAGGAUUAGAUACCCUGGUAGUCCACGCCCUAAACGAUGUCAACUGGUUGUUGGGUCUUCACUGACUCAGUAACGAAGCUAACGCGUGAAGUGACCGCC